UACGGGGGGGGCAAGCGUUGUUCGGAAUUACUGGGCGUAAAGGGCUCGUAGGCGGCCAACUAAGUCAGACGUGAAAUCCCUCGGCUUAACCGGGGAACUGCGUCUGAUACUGGUCGUCUUGAGGAAGGUAGGGGCAUGCGGAACUGAUGGUGGAGCGGUGAAAUGUGUUGAUAUCAUCAGGAACUCCGGUGGCGAAAGCGGCGUGCUGGACCUUUUCUGACGCUGAUGCGCGAAAGCCAGGGGAGCAAACGGG
rnacentral:rRNA from 1 species